rnacentral:rRNA from 1 species
AUUGAACGCUGGCGGCAGGCCUAACACAUGCAAGUCGAGCGGAUGAGUGGAGCUUGCUCCACGAUUCAGCGGCGGACGGGUGAGUAAUGCCUAGGAAUCUGCCUGGUAGUGGGGGACAACGUUUCGAAAGGAACGCUAAUACCGCAUACGUCCUACGGGAGAAAGCAGGGGACCUUCGGGCAUUGCGCUAUCAGAUGAGCCUAGGUCGGAUUAGCUAGUUGGCGAGGUAAUGGCUCACCAAUGCGACGAUCCGUAACUGGUCUGAGAGGAUGAUCAGUCACACUGGAACUGAGACACGGUCCAGACUCCUACGGGAGGCAGCAGUGGGGAAUAUUGGACAAUGGGCGAAAGCCUGAUCCAGCCAUGCCGCGUGUGUGAAGAAGGUCUUCGGAUUGUAAAGCACUUUAAGUUGGGAGGAAGGGUUGUAGGUUAAUACCCUGCAAUUUUGACGUUACCGACAGAAUAAGCACCGGCUAACUUCGUGCCAGCCGCCGCCGUAAAAC